rnacentral:rRNA from 1 species
GGGAGGUAGUGACAAUAAAUAACAAUACGGGGUUCUUUCGGAUCUCGUAAUUGGAAUGAGUACAAUUUAAAUCUCUUAACGAGGAACAAUUGGAGGGCAAGUCUGGUGCCAGCAGCCGCGGUAAUUCCAGCUCCAAUAGCGUAUAUUAAAGUUGUUGCAGUUAAAAAGCUCGUAGUUGAAUUUCGGGAUCAGAUUGUCGGUCGUGCCUUGGUACGCACUGGCAUUAUUGGUUCCUACCUUCUGAAGAACCGCGAUGUCAUUAAUUUGGUGUCGUGGGGAAUCAGGACUGUUACUUUGAAAAAUUAGAGUGUUUAAAGCAGGCGCACGCUUGAAUACAUUAGCAUGGAAUAAUGAAAUAGGACGUUUGAUUCUAUUUUGUUGGUUUCUAGGAUCGACGUAAUGAUUAAUAGGGAUAGUUGGG